rnacentral:tRNA from 1 species
UCAGAGGAUAGUUUAGUUGAGAAUCCUAGCUUUGGGAGUUAGGGGUAGGAGUUAAAAUCUCCUUUCUCUGAGC